rnacentral:rRNA from 1 species
UAGGGAAUAUUAGAAAUGGACGAAAGUCUGAUCUAGCAACACCGCGUGUGCGAAAAAGGCCUUCGGGUUGUAAAGCACUUUUUGAGAGGAUGAGGAAGGACGGUACUCUCAGAAUAAGUCUCGGCUAACUACGUGCCAGCAGCCGCGGUAACACGUAGGAGGCAAACGUUAUCCGGAUUUACUGGGCGUAAAGCGCGUGUAGGUGGUUUGGUAAGUAGAGCGUGAAAGCUCCUGGCUCAACUGGGAGAGGUCGUUCUAAACUGCCGGACUAGAGGAUGAGAGAGGGAGGUGGAAUUCCGGGUGUAGCGGUGGAAUGCGCAGAUAUCCGGAGGAACACCAGUGGCGAAGGCGGCCUCCUGGACCAUUCCUGACACUCAGACGCGAAAGCUAGGGUAGCAAACG